AGAGUUUGAUCAUGGCUCAGAAUCAACGCUGGCGGCGCGCUUAACACAUGCAAGUCGCACGAGAAAGUGGAGCAAUCCAUGAGUAAAGUGGCGUACGGGUGAGUAACACGUGGAUCAUCUACCUCUUGGUGGGGAAUAACGCUGGGAAACCGGCGCUAAUACCGCAUAAGCCUGAAAAAGGGAAAGCAGCAAUGCGCCGAGAGAGGAGUCCGCGGCCGAUUAGCUAGUUGGUAGGGUAAUGGCCUACCAAGGCAAUGAUCGGUAGCCGGCCUGAGAGGGCACACGGCCACACUGGCACUGAAACACGGGCCAGACUCCUACGGGAGGCAGCAGUGGGGAAUCUUGCACAAUGGGGGCAACCCUGAUGCAGCGACGCCGCGUGAGUGAUGAAGCCCUUCGGGGUGUAAAGCUCUUUCGGCAGGAACGAUAAUGACGGUACCUGAAGAAGAAGCUGCGGCUAACUACGUGCCAGCAGCCGCGGUAAUACGUAGGCAGCAAGCGUUGUUCGGAGUUACUGGGCGUAAAGAGUGUGUAGGCGGUUCUCUAAGUUCCGUGUGAAAUCUCCCGGCUCAACUGGGAGGGUGCGCGGAAAACUGGAGGGCUUGAGUAUGGGAGAGGAAAGCGGAAUUCCUGGUGUAGCGGUGAAAUGCGUAGAUAUCAGGAGGAACACCUGCGGUGUAGACGGCUUUCUGGACCAUCACUGACGCUGAGACACGAAAGCGUGGGUAGCAAACAGGAUUAGAUACCCUAGUAGUCC
rnacentral:rRNA from 1 species